rnacentral:tRNA from 1 species
CGUAGCUUAACUUACUCAAAGCGAAGCGCUGAAAAUGCUUAGAUGGUCCCUAAGACCCAUUAGC